rnacentral:rRNA from 1 species
UACGUAGGGUGCGAGCGUUAAUCGGAAUUACUGGGCGUAAAGUGUGCGCAGGCGGCCGCGCAAGUCGAGUGUGAAAGCCCCGGGCUUAACUUGGGAAUUGCGCUCGAAACUACGUGGCUGGAGUGUGGCAGAGGAAGGUGGAAUUCCACGUGUAGCAGUGAAAUGCGUAGAGAUGUGGAGGAAUACCAAUGGCGAAGGCAGCCCCCUGGGUUAACACUGACGCUCAUGCACGAAAGCGU